AAGUGAGUGGCGAACGGGUGAGUAACACGUGGGUAACCUGCCCAGAAGUAGGGGAUAACACCUGGAAACAGAUGCUAAUACCGUAUAACAGAGAAAACCGCAUGGUUUUCUUUUAAAAGAUGGCUCUGCUAUCACUUCUGGAUGGACCCGCGGCGUAUUAGCUAGUUGGUGAGGUAAAGGCUCACCAAGGCAGUGAUACGUAGCCGACCUGAGAGGGUAAUCGGCCACAUUGGGACUGAGACACGGCCCAGACUCCUACGGGAGGCAGCAGUAGGGAAUCUUCCACAAUGGACGCAAGUCUGAUGGAGCAACGCCGCGUGAGUGAAGAAGGGUUUCGGCUCGUAAAGCUCUGUUGUUAAAGAAGAACGUGGGUAAGAGUAACUGUUUACCCAGUGACGGUAUUUAACCAGAAAGCCACGGCUAACUACGUGCCAGCAGCCGCGGUAAUACGUAGGUGGCAAGCGUUAUCCGGAUUUAUUGGGCGUAAAGCGAGCGCAGGCGGUCUUUUAAGUCUAAUGUGAAAGCCUUCGGCUCAACCGAAAAGUGCAUUGGAAACUGGGAGACUUGAGUGCAGAAGAGGGACAGUGGAACUCCAUGUGUAGCGGUGAAA
rnacentral:rRNA from 1 species